rnacentral:rRNA from 1 species
AGUCGAACGCAAGUAGAAAUACUUGAGUGGCGGACGGGUGAGUAACGCGUGAGAAUCUGCCUUCUGGUCGGGGACAACCACUGGAAACGGUGGCUAAUACCGGAUAUGCCGCAACGUGAAAGAUUUAUCGCCAGAAGAGGAGCUCGCGUCUGAUUAGCUAGUUGGUGGGGUAAAAGCCUACCAAGGCAUCGAUCAGUAGCUGGUCUGGGAGGACGAUCAGCCACACUGGGACUGAGACACGGCCCAGACUCCUACGGGAGGCAGCAGUGGGGAAUUUUCCGCAAUGGGCGAAAGCCUGACGGAGCAAGACCGCGUGAGGGAAGAAGGCUCUUGGGUCGUAAACCUCUUUUGUCAGGGAAGAACACAAUGACGGUACCUGACGAAUCAGCCUCGGCUAACUCCGUGCCAGCAGCCGCGGUAAUACGGAGGAGGCAAGCGUUAUCCGGAAUUAUUGGGCGUAAAGCGUCCGCAGGUGGCUAGUCAAGUCUGCGGUCAAAGACUGGGGCUUAACCCUGGAAAGGCCGUGGAAACUGACAAGCUAGAGUGCAGUAGGGGUAGAGGGAAUUCCCGGUGUAGCGGUGAAAUGCGUAGAGCUCGGGAAGAACAUCGGUGGCGAAAGCGCUCUACUGGACUGCAACUGACACUCAGGGACGA